rnacentral:lncRNA from 1 species
UAGAGCCUGCCUCCUGGUGCUUUCCCAAGGCAUGCUGCUGCAAUCCUAUGAUCUGCCCGAGUGGCUUUAUCUGUUAUCUGUCUGUUUGAACAUUUGCUUUGUGGUGUUUGUUUUACAACCUGUUGUGUUGUAAGAACCUUGUAUGUUUGAACCUGUUAUGCACCUUGGUUAAUAUGCAUGCUAUCUGGUUAUCUACACCAUAGCCUCUACUGCUCUGUCUCCAUUUUUCUGUUUUAUAAUUUGUGUUGUUGACUUUGUGUUUUUGUUGGUGGCGUUGCCUGGAUGCCUGCUUUAUUCGUGGACUGGAACAAUUAGUUGCAAUUCGUCCGCAUAGAACCG